rnacentral:tRNA from 3 species
AGUCCGGUAGCUCAGCGGCAGAGCAGCGCCCUCAUAAGGCGAAGGCCGGUGGAUCGUGCCCACCCCGGACCACCA